rnacentral:SRP_RNA from 1 species
GCUGGGUGUGGUGGCGUGCACCUGUAAUCCCAGCUACUUGGGAGGCUGAGGCAGGAGAAUCGCUUGAAUCUGGGAGGCAGAGGUUGCAGUGGGCAGAGAUCAUGCCACUGCACUCCAGCCUGGGCGACAGAGCAAGACUCUGUCUCAA